GGCCUUGAUGCCCUCUACCCACAAUGAAGUCAGAAAGCAGAAUCAAUAAGAAGGGAUAUCAAACUGAUUUUUCUCCUAAAUAAGAUCACCUGUGUGGCUUAUCUCAUGCAAGGGAAAAACCAAGACAAGAAGGAGAAAGGGAUCCAUGGUGUUGAGCCCUGCCUGCUUGGACACUGGGGCCCACCGCUGUUAUUAACCAAGGAGCUGAGUGGCCUGAAGAAUCCCUUAGAGGUGCAGCUCCGGAAGAAAUCCGCCCUGCUGCACAGGGAAAGCUUGAAGACUGCUGCAAACCCAAGGCCACGGUGGGCCUGGGAGGAGAGGGAAGCGAGUACUGGUGCCAGUAGGUGAAAUGACUACAGACUGGGAACACUGAGGUGCUGUGUACUGGGCCUGAGGAUGACCUGGAGGGCAGAGCACCUGGGGCCCUGCCACAAAUGAGGUUUCAGGUUCAGGUCACUAUCACCUCGACACAGCUUAGUCUGGGUCUCCGGCCCUGGGAUAGAAGAGUACUGAGCAGUACUUGGUAUUUUUUCUUUCUACAUUUUAUUAUUUCAAACCAGGUGAACAAUUCCAUAAAACAUGUGAAAAAAGCAAGGAAGUGUUCAACGCUGAAGGACCCGGGCCUGGGGCAAGGGCACGAGGGGCAUGGCCCUCAGCAGGCAGCGGCGGUUCCUAGGUUAGCGCUAAGGAGCUACAUUUAGGUUAAUGGAGCCAGGGCCCAGGGCCACUGGGACGGGGCCCUCAGUGAUGUUGGCAGUUGUCUGGAACAGCCCUUGGAACCCAGUUCUGUGGAGGGCAGGGCAGAUGUGCCGCCCGCACGGGGUAGGGGAGGGGCAGCCAGCAGAGGGAUGGGUGUAAACACGCAGACACACUCAAGGCACGGAAUCACUGGAAGGGGGCUGGGUGGGCGCUGGUCAGGAUCUGACAGUUUUAAAUAGUUUUUCUCUAAAAAGUUUUCUAGGUUUGCAGUUUUUUUUUUUUUUUUUCCUUUACUUUCAUUUUUUUUUUU